rnacentral:rRNA from 1 species
CUGGUUGAUUCUGCCAGUAGUCAUAUGCUUGUCUAAAAGGUAAAUUUCAUUUUAUUGUCGUGAAAUUGGAGUGUGAUUCUUUUCAACCAUAAUCAUGGUUCUUUGUGUAAUUUUUUCUUCGUGUGUCCUAUAUACUUACUUUUUCUUUUCUUUUUCCACCACCUUUUAUCAUCAUUAGAUUAAGCCAUGCGUGUGUAAGUAUAAACAACUUCGUACUUGUGAGACUGCGAAUGGCUCAUUAAAUCAGCAAGAAUUUAUGUGAAAACCAAACUAUCAGUUUCCUACUUGGAUAACUGUCGAAAAACGAGAGCUAAUACAUGCAAAGAGGGGCGACUUUUGGGAAGCCUUGUAUUUAUUAGAGAAUUGAAAUCAACGGGGGCAACCUCUUUGAAAGAUGAUUCAUAAUAACUGUGCGGAGCGUAUGGCUUCGAGCCGACGCCGAUUCAUUCAACUUUCUGCCCUAUCAACUUUCGAUGGUAGGAUAGAGGCCUACCAUGGUUAUAACGGGUAACGGAGAAUUAGGGUUCGAUUCCGGAGAGGGAGCCUGAGAAACGGCUACCACUUCCAAGGGAGGCAGCAGGCGCGCAAAUUACCCAAUCCUAACUCAGGGAGGUAGUGACAAGAAAUAACGAUACGGGUCUUGAAUCAAGUCUUGUAAUCGGAAUGAGAACAAUCUAAACCACUUAACGAGCACCAAUUGGAGGGCAAGUCUGGUGCCAGCAGCCGCGGUAAUUCCAGCUCCAAUAGCGUAUAUUAAUGUUGUUGUAGUUAAAAAGCUCGUAGUUGGAUCUUGGAGUUUCGUAGGCCGUUUGACCAGCCUGAAUGGCUAGUGUUGACGGUCUCGCUCUAUAUGUGAUAGCGGCAUGCGUACAGCCUUAAUUGUGUGGUACGUUUCUACGUGGUUCGGUUCUCUUCCUUCAUUGGGAGUGGAGCAGGGCCGGUGGAGGGGCUUUCCUCUUUCGGGGGGCAAAGUCAAUGCUCUAUCUUGUUUACUUUGAAAAAAUUAGAGUGUUUAAGGCAGACCAUUUUAUGGUCAUUGAAUACAUUAGCAUGGGAUAAUAGAAUAAGACAUAGGUUUUAUUUUGUUGGUUUCGUAAAACUUAAGUAAUGAUUAAAAGGGACAGUUGGGGUGAUUCGUAUUUAAUUGUCAGAGGUGAAAUUCUUAGAUUCAUGAAAGACGAACUACUGCGAAAGCAUUUCACAAGAAUGUUUUCAUUAAUCAAGAACGAAAGUUAGGGGAUCGAAGACGAUCAGAUACCGUCGUAGUCUUAACCAUAAACGAUGCCGACCAAGGAUAGGGAAACGUUAAUUCAAAUGACUCUCCCUGCACUUUGUGAGAAAUCAUAAGUCUUUGGGUUCUGGGGGGAAUACGGUCACAAGGCUGAAACUUAAAGGAAUUGACGGAAGGGCACCACCAGGAGUGGAGCCUGCGGCUUAAUUUGACUCAACACGGGAAAACUUACCAGGUCCGGACUGCAGGAGGAUUGACAGAUUGAGAGCUCUUUCAUGAUUUGUAGGAUGGUGGUGCAUGGCCGUUGUUGGCUCGUGGUGUGAACUGUCUGGUUAAUUCCGUUAACGAGCGAGACCUUAACCUGCUAAAUAGUGACUCAAAGAGGUUUGCAUUAAGUAGGUUCGGGCCUACCUGGGAAUUUGGGUUCGUCCCACCUAGGUAGUUGUCUACGACUGCUGCAGUUCUUUGAGGAUUUUCCACUUCUUAGAGGGACUAUUCGUGAUUAGCGAAUGGAAGUUUGAGGCUAUAACAGGUCUGUGAUGCCCUUCGAUGAUCCUGGGCCGCACGCGCGCUACACUGACGGUCUCAACGAGUUCCACACCUUGCCUGAAAAGGUUGGGUGAUCUUGUGAAAUGCCGUCGUGAUGGGGAUAGAUGAUUGCAAUUAUUCAUCUUCAACGAGGAAUUCCUAGUAAGCGCGAGUCAUCAACUCGCGUUGAAUUCGUCCCUGCCCUUUGUACACACCGCCCGUCGCUCCUACCGAUUGAAUGGUCCGGUGAAAUCUUCGGAUUGUUAACUUGCAUUACUUUUUCCUUUUGAUUCGUCAUUGGGAAGGAGUAACGUUGAUGAAAAGUUGCUUAAACCUUACCAUUUAGAGGAAGGAGAAGUCGUAACAAGGUCUCCGUAGGUGAACCUGCAGAAGGAUCA